CCGGGGGGCAGCCUACACAUGCAGUCGAGCGAGCUCUUCGGAGCUAGCGGCGGACGGGUUAGUAACGCGUGGGAACGUGCCCUUCACUGCGGAAUAGCCACUGGAAACGGUGAGUAAUACCGCAUACGCCCUUCGGGGGAAAGAUUUAUCGGUGAAGGAUCGGCCCGCGUUAGAUUAGAUAGUUGGUGGGGUAACGGCCUACCAAGUCUACGAUCUAUAGCUGGUUUUAGAGGAUGAUCAGCAACACUGGGACUGAGACACGGCCCAGACUCCUACGGGAGGCAGCAGUGGGGAAUCUUGGACAAUGGGCGCAAGCCUGAUCCAGCCAUGCCGCGUGAGUGAUGAAGGCCUUAGGGUCGUAAAGCUCUUUCGCCAGAGAUGAUAAUGACAGUAUCUGGUAAAGAAACCCCGGCUAACUCCGUGCCAGCAGCCGCGGUAAUACGGAGGGGGUUAGCGUUGUUCGGAAUUACUGGGCGUAAAGCGCACGUAGGCGGAUCAGAAAGUUGGGGGUGAAAUCCCGGGGCUCAACCCCGGAACUGCCUCCAAAACUCCUGGUCUUGAGUUCGAGAGAGGUGAGUGGAAUUCCGAGUGUAGAGGUGAAAUUCGUAGAUAUUCGGAGGAACACCAGUGGCGAAGGCGGCUCACUGGCUCGAUACUGAC
rnacentral:rRNA from 1 species